UUAACCAAUGUUAAGAAUAAAAGUGUC
rnacentral:sRNA from 1 species